GCUCCCGUAGUGUAAUGGAAGCACAGCAGACUUUCGAUCUGCUAGAGCGAGUUCAAACCUCGUCGGGAGUGCCA
rnacentral:tRNA from 2 species